rnacentral:lncRNA from 1 species
GGGGGGCUAAAAUAGAACUUAAACAUAAAACCCAUCAUCUUCCCUACUAACCCAACAAUUCCUCACCUCACCGCUCAUCUCCUCAUUCGUUUCUAUCCUCUCUAGUAAAUUCCGGCGACAUCCUCCAUUCUAGCAAAAGUUCCCAAAUUAUAGAACGUGUAGUAAGUUCCCAAAUUUCUUGAAUCUUAUGUAGAUGUCUGUAAUUUAAGGCUUUUGAGUUUUUAAAUUUUGUGACUACUGGUAUUAUUUUCUGGGUUUUGUUGAAUAUUUGAUUUUUUAAUGUGGGUUCUGGAAGCAAAACCAUAGUUUUGCCUUUGUGGAUAAGGACCAGGUAGGGGAAGGAGACCAGGUCAUCAUCAUUUUGCCAACAGCUACGUCCAUAACCCCUUUUUGUAUGUUUGUUUGUAUUACGUAUGGCUGGGAGAACUGCAAAUACAAUAUAAGGCCAAAAGAGGAAAUACAUUAAGGGUUUGUAUCAAACAUUCAAGCAUUAUAAGCUCAUUAAAUCAGAUUAUUGGGUUAUUCUAAUAUAGCGUGUUCAGAUGUUAAAUGAACUCUCUUUCCCCUUUCAUUUGAAUGUGCAAGACUAUUGGUUGAUACAGGUAAACAAAGCAAAUUCUGAAAAAAUAACCUGAAGUUUAUACUCCAAUACAUGCAUAUCGUUGCCAAAUAUGAUGGCCUAAACCAUUUUGAAUGGCAUCUUGUUCUUGCUUUUAUUUUUCUUGAUUUUGGUGGUUUUUAUUGGUAAUAAUCUAAUUUAAAUAAAAACGUGGAUGCUUGGGUGAGUUUUGUAGUGCAAAUGGCUGUUUUACUGAACCAUGUUUCAUAUUGGUUGAUGUACGUUUUCCCAUAUUCACUACUUUCCAAAUUAUGGCAUUGUUACUUUGUAACAAUUUUUCUUUAUAUUAAGGGUUUCAUAUUGUUCAAUCUUGUGUAUGUCAUCCGGUUUUUUUUUUUAAUGGAAAUGUUUGGUUGAACGAGAAGUUCCUAUCCUAUAUGUCAAGUAACUAAUUCACAUGAUUUACGUACAGGGAUUCCUAUCCUAAAUUUUCUAUCUUUGAUACCAAGGUAAUUCAAAAUUGAAAGAUUUCAAAUUUAAAUAAUGUUUGGACAAAUUCACUGAAUAAGGAAGUUGUUCCAUUACUUACUUAUGAUAUCAUUUUUUGUUAACAUUUUGCUAUAAAGUUUAUUAAUGUGAGGUUUUUUUAUUUUUUUUUUAAACAAGAUCGACUGUAAGACAUUUAGGAGGGAAGGAUGUAAGCAUUAUGAAUUGUUUGGAGAGAUUUUUAGCGGGACUAUAGCUACUGGAGGUCUAGGCGAUGUUUCUACUUAGCUUCCGCCAACGUCAGAGGAAGAAAGAUGGCUAGAAGAUGAGUUUUUGAGAAGGUGCAUAUACGUGUGGAAAAUGAUAAUGAUGAAGUUUCAAAAAUUCGUUGACGUGAUGAUACUACGCCUAAAAACGUCGACGUAAGGAACUCAAAAUCCAUAAAGGUGAAAAACUUGAGGAAUGUAUGACGCAAUGGUCAUCUAUCAUUAGUAUGGGGAAUGAGGAAACAAACUUAGGAUGCUAUUCCUUGAAGAAAAGCUUGCACACAUCCAAGAAAAAUCAUCUAAUCACGAGGGCACUAGUGAAGUCUCUAGUCCAGAUCCUUAUUCGAAUAUGGCGUGUUUGACCAUUUAAAACAACAUGGAAGGAGUGUCUAACGAGAUUUAUAUGAAAGCAAUAGAGGUUUUCAAAGAUCCAGAUUUCAGGAUGAUAUUUGUAAUUAUACCAGAAAUUAUGAGAUGAUCUAUCUUGGAACUUCUUUGAUUUGCCUAAUUGGUCGGAUUGAGUAUUUUGAACUUAUAAUGUAGGAUUUUGUUCU